rnacentral:misc_RNA from 1 species
UCUCCGUAGGUGAACCAGCGGAGGGAUCAUUACAGAGUUGCAAAACUCCCAAACCAUUGUGAACGUUACCUAUCCCGUUGCUUCGGCGGGCGGCCCGGGCCCCGCGCCCGGCGCCCCCCGGCCCCCCGUGGGCGCCCGCCGGAGGUAAACCAAACCCUUGAAUUGCAUGGCCUCUCUGAGUCUUCUGUACCGAAUAAGUCAAAACUUUCAACAACGGAUCUCUUGGUUCUG